GGGAGCGAUCGGUCUCGGCGCUUAGCGCGAUUACUUGCAUCGUCUCCGGCCAUCCUUGGGGAGAGUCUGUCUGGCAUUAAGUUGUCGGGCAGAGGAUCCUCAUCGUUUACUGUGAAAAAAUUAGAGUGUUCAAAGCAGGCUUAUGCCGUUGAAUAUAUUAGCAUGGAAUAAUAAGAUAGGACUUUGGUACUAUUUUGUUGGUUUGCGCACCAAAGUAAUGAUUAAUAGGGACAGUUGGGGGUAUUCGUAUUCCGUUGUCAGAGGUGAAAUUCUUGGAUUUACGGAAGACGAACUACUGCGAAAGCAUUUACCAAGGAUGUUUUCAUUAAUCAAGAACGAAAGUUAGGGGAUCGAAGAUGAUCAGAUACCAUCGUAGUCUUAACCAUAAACUAUGCCGACUCGGGAUUGGCGGGCGUUUCUUUUUUGACCCCGUCAGCACCGUAUGUGAAAACAAAGUCUUUGGG
rnacentral:rRNA from 1 species